GAUGAAGAACGUAGCGAAAUGCGAUAAGUAAUGCGAAUUGCAGAAUUCCAGUGAGUCAUCGAAUCUUUGAACGCACAUUGCGCCCUUUGGUAUUCCGAAGGGCAUGCCUGUUCGAGCGUCAUUAUCACCCCUCAAGCCCUCGGCUUGGUGUUGGACGGUUUGGUGGAGGCCCCCUCGGGGGCUCCUGCCCCUCCCAAAGACAAUGACGGCGGCCUCGUUGGACCCCCGGUACACUGAGUUCUUCACGGGACACGUAUCGGACACAUGGGUUUACGGGACACGGUCUGCCUCCCCUCAGGGAGAAUCUUUCUACGGUUGACCUCGGAUCAGGUAGGGAUACCCGCUGAACUUAAGCAUAUCAAUAAGCGGAGGA
rnacentral:misc_RNA from 1 species